rnacentral:misc_RNA from 1 species
GAUGAAGAACGUAGCGAAAUGCGAUAACUAAUGUGAAUUCCAGAAUUCAGUGAAUCAUCGAGUCUUUGAACGCACAUUGCGCCCCCUGGUAUUCCGGGGGGCAUGCCUGUCCGAGCGUCAUUGCGGCCCUCAAGCACGGCUUGUGUGUUGGGCUCCGUCCCCCCGGGGACGGGUCCGAAAGGCAGCGGCGGCACCGAGUCCGGUCCUCGAGCGUAUGGGGCUUUGUCACCCGCUCUGUAGGCCCGGCCGGCGCCAGCCGACAACCAAUCAUCCUUUUUUCAGGUUGACCUCGGAUCAGGUAGGGAUACCCGCUGAACUUAAGCAUAUCAAUAAGCGGAGGA